rnacentral:rRNA from 1 species
UACAGAGGGUGCGAGCGUUGUUCGGAAUUAUUGGGCGUAAAGCGCUUGUAGGCGGCUUGUUAAGUUCCGUGUGAAAUCCCCAGGCUUAACCUGGGAAGUGCGCGGAAAACUGGCGAGCUUGAGUGCCGGAGAGGGUCGCGGAAUUCCCGGUGUAGAGGUGAAAUUCGGUAGAUAUCGGGAGGAACACCAGUGGCGAAGGCGGCGACCUGGACGGACACUGACGCUGA